AUACGGAGGGAGCAAGCGUUAUUCGGAAUCACUGGGCGUAAAGGACGCGUAGGCGGGUUUGUAAGUCAGGUGUGAAAUCCUACAGCUCAACUGUAGAACUGCACUUGAAACUACAGACCUAGAGUAUGGAAGGGGCAGAUGGAAAUAGUGGUGUAGGGGUAAAAUCCGUAGAUAUCACUAGGAAUACCGAAAGCGAAGGCGAUCUGCUGGGACAUUACUGACGCUGAGGCGUGAAAGCGUGGGGAGCAAACAGGAUUAGAUACCCCAGUAGUCC
rnacentral:rRNA from 1 species